ACGUGCUUAGUUUAUUUAGAAUUGGAGUUUGUCAGGCUUUAGGAAUCUCUUUUGGAUAGUGCGUU
rnacentral:tRNA from 1 species